rnacentral:lncRNA from 1 species
AGACAGAGUGAACUGACUACCUUUUUAUUCAGCACACCUCCACUGGAGGUUCUGCACUCUAAGUCUUUGGAGCCUGGGUAUAAACUCUUUUCCUUUCAAGAUUCCAUACUGCAGGAGAAUUUUUAAGAUAUUUGACUGUCUUGUCUGAGCCACGUAGAGUAGAGGUGUGAUGCCACUCAGGGGGCUGGGGCAGUACACGGGUGUGAAGGUUCUGCAAGCCAAAAGCAGAGUGACCACCAUGUAACUAACAUUCCCCUGUAAUGUCUUAAGGAGAAUUUGACAUUGUAACUGUGGACCAAGCUGAAGGAGGAAAGAAAGCUCCCACCAACUGCUAAAGCCUCCCUUCACAUCUGUGAAAAGCGCACUGCAUGAGCAAAGCACUUAGUCGCAGCAGCCAUGUGUCGCUGCUGUGUCUCCCACACUGGUGGGGGCAUAAACCUUACCAAGCUCUGCAAAUAUAACAUGAAAAUUAAAAAUAAAAAGUUUUCUUAUUGCUUAUUUUUUA